AAGGAUAAAUGUAGGGGCAUAAGUUAAAAUUCCCGGUUGGGAGAAUGGGUCCAUACUGAUGGCGGCCCAAACGCGGUCCAAACAUGAUCCCACGCAUACGAUUCUUUCCUCUUCACGUUGAGCUGCAACAUAGGAAAAGAAGAAAAGCCUACAACGCUCCGCUCUGUUCUUUACACCGUUACGCUGUCACCAUGAUCGCCGUAUUAGCUUCGUUCGUGUACUCUUGUUUGCGUUUGGACGUGUAGCGAUUUGUAGGCUCCUAGCUUCAAAGUUCCCAUGGAAUGGCUCGUAUCGCCCACAUAUAAACAUGAGGAAAUGAUGUUGAAGAUAGAUCGGAAGACUUACCAGGUCGAGUUUCCGAUGGCGGUUGGGCAUGAAUUGUCUUCCUUGCUUCGCGUUUAUGUCGAUGUUCUUCUUCUCAACACGAAUUCGAUACCGGCGAUCUUCGGUUUCUCCUCAGAAGUUGCAUAUGAACUCAAAGUAACGUUGGGGUUCAGAUAAGGAACGCUGCGAUCUCCUUUCUCCUUCUUCGAUUUACUCUUGAUUUACUUCCUUCUGUUUUCAAUUUGAUAUGCGUAUGGUCGUUGCGUGAAGGAGCUUUGGCUGCAAAAUGGAAAAAACCAAUUGCAGUGUUCAGUUCUUGUUGCAGAAUCCAGUGGAAUUCGUUUGCAGGAUCGAAUUACAGAAUUGAGAUGUAAGGUCCAGUUGCAGGAUCGAGUUGCAUCAUUUGAAGCUUGAUGUAUGAAUCUGAAUUCGGUGAAGAAUUAUGAGUUUUUAUUUGGUGAAGGGUGUAGAGGUUGAAGAAGAAGAUUGGUGAAUGGUGAAGUGAAGUUGAAGGAGAUUGGAAAAUAAAGGUUGAAGAAUCCCCCUUAAUUUCUAACAGAAGGAACAGCCCCGAGUUUAAAAGGGAAUGAAGAUAUUCAAGCCGUCUAUGGUGAGAAGCAAGAUGCAGUGGCGUAGCACCAUUUCCAUCUCUUAUGUUCACAAAUCUGGUAAAUCCCCAAGAAUCUGCAACAGGCCUGGAAUGAGCAGCUGAAAGAAUAGCCUUUAGGCAAUCCACAUGGCCAUAAUACGCAGCAUAGUGCAAGCAAGUUCUUUGACGAAUAGAAUCAAACAUCAAUAUAUUAGCUCCAUCUUGAAUAAGCUUUUCCAUGCGACCGGUCUUUCCAUGCAUCACAGCCAGCAUUAAUGGCGUCUGUUUAUGAUGAUUCAAGACAUCAACUUUAACUAUCUGCUCCAACAGCAUGGAAAACACCUCGAUCCGACCAUUGGCAACGGCUAAAUGAAGAGGAGACAACUUAGCUCAACCAAUAGUUCACAUCAACCAUAGCUUCAACAACAUCCAACUCACCAUUGGCAAAUGAAAGUGAUACGAAUUUAUUGUUCGUGGUGAAUUGUGUCGUAAAUUGCCGUGGAUUUAUUAUGCUGUUAAGUUGAAAUCUAAUAUGGUUUUCUGGCAGGCCUUAAAUGGUGAAGCAUUGGUCAGGUAGUGCUUAGAGCCAAAACUCGUCCACGGUUGGAAAAUGGCUGGUCACGUAGCUUCUAGUUCAGUUUGGAAUUGUGAUUCAGAACGUGUCUCAAUCAAGAAUUGGUUGUUCUCCUUUCUUUUUGAAGUUAUGAAGGCAUAUUUCCUAUUAGGGGAACAACGGCUGCAUUACAGUCCAAAUUAACGACGUCAACAGAGCAUAAGUAUCUCUCGAUACGGCGACUUGAGAAGUUAGUGAAACUGUAAAUCAUUUUGGAGUCAAUUGUAUAUUUUGAAAUGAUGUUGAUUCUCUUUUUGUCAAAUGUUGCUUCAAUUAUUCGGUGUAGCUGCGAUACCGAUUGUCAUACUGACCUGUUCUUCUUUCAACAUUGCAAGUGUCCUCAUGGAUUUGAUGCAGAAUAUCACCUGUCCUAUACCGGUAUUCAAUCCAAAUGGCGGAUUACUGUUGGUUUUGCUGAAGGAUCUUGGCGUUGUAAGUCAACGAUAUGCCGCUUUCACUUUACUUCACCAGGAUGUGUAGUAACUCCAUGGCUUAUGUAAUCCAUUACUAGUUUACUGUUUGUAUCAUUCAUGUGAUGGUUGGGUGAAUGGUAGUAACAUAAUUUAUAUAGAAAAUUAGGAUGUAAUUAUUUUGGUAAGGUGUUUAUAACAAAUACUAGCACGGACGAGCAUGGUAUUUUGGACUAGGUAUGUAGGAUUUUGCCAGUGGUUUCAAACAUGCUGCAAGCGGAUUAUGUAAUAUGGACAUGAAAUUGUUUUAAUAGUGGUAUAGCCAAUUGGGUUUGGAUAA